UACGUAGGGUGCGAGCGUUAAUCGGAAUUACUGGGCGUAAGCGUGACGCAGGCGGUUUUGUAAGCCAGAUGUGAAAGCCCCGGGCUCAACCUGGGAACUGGCAUUUGGACUGCAAGGCUUGGAGUGCGGCAGAGGAGACUAGAAUUCCUGGUGUAGCAGUGAAAUGCGUAGAUAUCUGCAGGAACACCCGUGGCGAAAGCGGCGCGCUGGACCACUACUGACGCUGAGGAACGAAAGCUAGGGGAGCAAACAGG
rnacentral:rRNA from 1 species